CCUACGGGAGGCAGCAGUGGGGAAUAUUGCACAAUGGGGGAAACCCUGAUGCAGCGACGUCGCGUGAGUGAUGAAGUAUUUCGGUAUGUAAAGCUCUAUCAGCAGGGAAGAAAAUGACGGUACCUGACUAAGAAGCCCCGGCUAACUACGUGCCAGCAGCCGCGGUAAUACGUAGGGGGCAAGCGUUAUCCGGAUUUACUGGGUGUAAAGGGAGCGUAGACGGCGGUGCAAGCCAGAUGUGAAAGCCCGGGGCUCAACCACGGGACUGCAUUUGGAACUGUGCUGCUAGAGUGUCGGAGAGGCAGGCGGAAUUCCUAGUGUAGCGGUGAAAUGCGUAGAUAUCAAGAGGAACACCAGUGGCGAAGGCGACCUGCUGGACGAUGACUGACGUUGAGGCGCGAAAGCGUGGGGAGCAAACAGGAUUAGAUACCCCUGUAGUC
rnacentral:rRNA from 1 species